rnacentral:rRNA from 1 species
GACGAACGCUGGCGGCGUGCUUAACACAUGCAAGUCGAACGGAAAGGCCCUGCUUUUGUGGGGUGCUCGAGUGGCGAACGGGUGAGUAACACGAGAGUAACCUGCUCUAGACUUUGGGAUAACUUCAGGAAACUGGGGCUAAUACCGGAUCGGAUCUCCUGCUGCAUGGUGGGGGUUGGAAAGUUUCGGCGGUCGGGGAUGGACUCGCGGCUAAUCAGCUUGUUGGUGGGGUAGUGGCUUACCAAGGCUUUGACGGAUACCCGGCCUGGGAGGGUGACCGGCGACCAUGGUACUGAGAGAGGGACCAGACGCGAACGUGAGGCAGCAGUGGGAAAUAUGGCACAAUGAGCGGAAGUCUGAUGCAGCAGCGCCGCGUGCGUGAUGACGGCCUUUGGGUUGAGAACCGCUUUCGCUUGUGACGAAGCGUGUGUGACGGUAAUGAGUAAAGAAGCACCGGCUAACUACGUG